rnacentral:tmRNA from 1 species
GGGGGUGAAUUAGCUUCGACAGACGUCGUUGAGCCGAAAGUCGCAGGCACGGGUUGGUCAGGACCCGUUCAAAACCGGACCAAACCACAAAUGCCAACACGCAGUUGGCCUGGGCCACUGCCUAACCCGCAGUGAGCACACGCCGGUCCUCGACUUCCGCUAGAGGGUCGCCGGCGUCAAGAGCGGGAUGCGGUCCUUCCCCGUGGUACCGUGGGCGGGGGGCCUAAGACCGAACGGGACUAGUCCGGGAGUGCUCGCCUAUCAGUUUCUUCCGGGCGAAAUUGAAGAUGGGCUAAGCCUGUAGUGGCCUCGGUCGGCGUCGUUUGGACGCGGGUGCAACUCCCGCCACCUCCACCA